rnacentral:rRNA from 1 species
GGAUGUAACAUUUUCUCGUGCUUGGGCGAGAGUAGUACUAGGAUGGGUGACCUCCUGGGAAGUCCUCGUGUUGCAUCCC